CUAAGUAUAAGCGACUUGUACUGUGAAACUGCGAAUGGCUCAUUAAAUCAGUUAUGGUUUCUUUGAUGGUACCUUGCUACUUGGAUACCCGUAGUAAUUCUAGAGCUAAUACAUGCAGGACUGCCCGACUUCGGAAGGGCUGUAUUUAUUAGAUAAGAAACCAUCUCGGGUCCGCCCGGUUGUGUGCUGAGUCAUAAUAACUGCUCGAAUCGCACGGCUCUACGCCGGCGAUGGUUCAUUCAAAUUUCUGCCCUAUCAGCUUUCGAUGGUAGGAUAGAGGCCUACCAUGGCGUUAACGGGUAACGGAGAAUUAGGGUUCGAUUCCGGAGAGGGAGCCUGAGAAAUGGCUACCACAUCCAAGGAAGGCAGCAGGCGCGUAAAUUGCCCGAAUCCUGACACAGGGAGGUAGUGACAAGAAAUAACAAUACAGGGCUACUUCUAGUCUUGUAAUUGGAAUGAGUACAACUUACAUCUCUUCACGAGGAUCAAUUGGAGGGCAAGUCUGGUGCCAGCAGCCGCGGUAAUUCCAGCUCCAAUAGCGUAUAUUAAAGUUGUUGCAGUUAAAAAGCUCGUAGUCGGAUUUCGGGUCGGGCCGAGCGGUCUGCCGAUGGGUAUGCACUGUUUGGCGCGGCCUUCUUUCCGGAGACCGCGGCUACUCUUAACUGAGCGGGCGUGGGAGACGGAUCGUUUACUUUGAAAAA
rnacentral:rRNA from 1 species